rnacentral:rRNA from 1 species
UACGGGGGGGGCAAGCGUUGUUCGGAAUUACUGGGCGUAAAGGGCUCGUAGGCGGCCAACUAAGUCAGACGUGAAAUCCCCAGGCUCAACCUGGGAACUGCGUCCGAUACUGGCGGGCUUGAAUCCGGGAGAGGGAUGCGGAAUUCCAGGUGUAGCGGUGAAAUGCGUAGAUAUCUGGAGGAACACCGGUGGCGAAGGCGGCAUCCUGGACCGGCAUUGACGCUGAGACGCGAAAGCGUGGGGAGCAAACAGG